ensembl:snRNA U1 U1 spliceosomal RNA
AUACUUACCUGGCAAGGGAGAUACCAUGAUCAAGAAGGUGGUUCACCCAUAGCAAGUCUGUAGCACUGGCAGGCGUUGUAUGGGACACAGUGAGGAUUGCGGACAGAACAAGCAGAACAAGCUAGCUAAGCCAUGGCUUCAUCUGUUCAUGGAGGGUUCAAUGUUGGGCCAUGGCUUCAUC